UGGGGAAUAUUGGACAAUGGGCGCAAGCCUGAUCCAGCAAUGCCGCGUGAGUGAUGAAGGCCUUAGGGUUGUAAAGCUCUUUCGCCCGCGACGAUGAUGACGGUAGCGGGAGAAGAAGCCCCGGCUAACUUCGUGCCAGCAGCCGCGGUAAUACGAAGGGGGCGAGCGUUGUUCGGAUUUACUGGGCGUAAAGGGCGCGUAGGCGGCCCUCUUUGUCGCGUGUGAAAGCCCCGGGCUCAACCUGGGAAUGGCGCGCGAAACGGGGGGGCUGGAGUUCGGGAGAGGAGCGUGGAAUUCCCAGUGUGGAGGUGAAAUUCGUAGAUAUUGGGAAGAACACCGGUGGCGAAGGCGGCGCUCUGGACCGAGACUGACGCUGAGGCGCGAAAGCGUGGGGAGCAAACAGGAUUAGAUACCCUGGUAGUCCACGCCGUAAACGAUGUGUGCUAGACGUUGGGGAGCCUAGCUCUCCGGUGUCGCCGCAAACGCUUUAAGCACACCGCCUGGGGAGUACGGCCGCAAGGUUA
rnacentral:rRNA from 1 species